rfam:Cronobacter sakazakii ATCC BAA-894, complete genome.
AUUACCCAUCGUGAUGUGGUUAUUACAAUCAUAAGUUUCUGAUUUGAAGGGCAAUAAUUUAUUGCCCUUUUUUGUUU